rnacentral:rRNA from 1 species
ACGCUAGCGGGAGGCCUAACACAUGCAAGCCGAGCGGUAUUUGUCUUUCGGGACAGAGAGAGCGGCGUACGGGUGCGGAACACGUGUGCAACCUACCUUUAUCAGGGGGAUAGCCUUUCGAAAGGAAGAUUAAUACCCCAUAAUAUAUUGAUUGGCAUCAGUUAAUAUUGAAAACUCCGGUGGAUAGAGAUGGGCACGCGCAAGAUUAGAUAGUUGGUAGGGUAACGGCCUACCAAGUCAGUGAUCUUUAGGGGGCCUGAGAGGGUGAUCCCCCACACUGGUACUGAGACACGGACCAGACUCCUACGGGAGGCAGCAGUGAGGAAUAUUGGACAAUGGGUGAGAGCCUGAUCCAGCCAUCCCGCGUGAAGGACGACGGCCCUAUGGGUUGUAAACUUCUUUUGUAUAGGGAUAAACCUACUCUCGUGAGAGUAGCUGAAGGUACUAUACGAAUAAGCACCGGCUAACUCCGUGCCAGCAGCCGCGGUAAUACGGAGGGUGCAAGCGUUAUCCGGAUUUAUUGGGUUUAAAGGGUCCGUAGGCGGAUCUGUAAGUCAGUGGUGAAAUCUCAUAGCUUAACUAUGAAACUGCCAUUGAUACUGCAGGUCUUGAGUAAAGUAGAAGUGGCUGGAAUAAGUAGUGUAGCGGUGAAAUGCAUAGAUAUUACUUAGAACACCAAUUGCGAAGGCAGGUCACUAUGUUUUAACUGAACGCUGAUGACGAAAGCGUGGGGAGCGAAAC